AACGGUCAUAUCACGUUGAAAGACUGGUUCUCGUACGAUCACCGAAGUUAAGCAAUAACGAGCCUGGUCAGGUACCUAAAUGGGUGACUGUUUGGGAAUGCCAGGUGCUGUAAG